GGUCAUAGGUCAGUGGCAGAGCACUUGCCUUGUACGCAGAAGGCCCCGGGUUCGUUUCCCACUGGCAUCU